rnacentral:rRNA from 1 species
GACGGAGGAUGCAAGCGUUAUCCGGAAUGAUUGGGCGUAAAGCGUCCGCAGGUGGCAGUUCAAGUCUGUUGUGAAAUCCCCGAGCUCAACUUGGGAAUUGCAAUGGAUACUGGCAGGCUGGAGUAUGGUAGAGGAAGGUGGAAUUCCCGGUGUAGCAGUGAAAUGCGUAGAGAUCGGGAGGAACACCAGUGGCGAAGGCGGCCUUCUGGACCAAUACUGACGCUCAUGCACGAAAGCGUGGGGAGCAAACGGG